CCUACGGGGGGCAGCAGUGGGGAAUAUUGCACAAUGGGCGAAAGCCUGAUGCAGCAACGCCGCGUGAAGGAAGAAGGGUUUCGGCUCGUAAACUUCUAUCAACCGGGACGAAAGAAAUGACGGUACCUGAAUAAGAAGCCCCGGCUAACUACGUGCCAGCAGCCGCGGUAAUACGUAGGGGGCAAGCUUUAUCCGGAAUUACUGGGUGUAAAGGGUGAGUAGGCGGCAAGGUAAGCCAGAUGUGAAAGCCUUGGGCCUAACCCGAGGAUUGCAGUUGGAACUAUCAGGCUAGAGUGCAGGAGAGGAAUGCGGAAUUCGUGGUGUAGCGGUGAAAUGCGUAGAUAUUAGGAAGAACACCGGUGGCGAAGGCGGCAUUCUGGACUGAAACUGACGCUGAGGCACGAAAGCGUGGGGAGCGAACAGGAUUAGAUACCCGAGUAGUC
rnacentral:rRNA from 1 species